AUGAAGUUGCACCUGAGUUUUUUUUUAUGUUGUACAUUGCUGGCCAGUGGCUUUAGUUUCCUCUUUGUCCCCACAAGUUCAUUACAUGUUAUGUUGCUACCUUCAUGUAUCAUCUACUACAUCUCAUCCAUGGUCUAGCCCUGGAAAACUUGCUGAUUCAUCUCUUUACGUGCAUUUCAGAAGGUGUACAUGAAUUUCUUACCAAAAACUCAUCUUUAACAGUACAUAUUUGUCUGCAAGGACUCUAGCUCGGUGCUUUUAAUUCAAUACCACUGUGACACAACUUCAUAUAUUACCUCAAGAGCUUCAUAGAGGUGCAAGCCAUAAUGAUGACAAGGUCCUUCUUCUUGCUGCUACAAAUACUCUAUAUGCUCUCGAUCAGAUAUAGAACAUCUAUCAAUUAUUCACCUGCAUGAUCUUAACGCCAGGCAACGCAUGUUCAAGGCAUGCACCAGGAUUUCGAUGAAAUUACCUUGAUGUUGUACAAAAUUCAUGAUAUACAGCAGGGUUUUACAGUGGCAGGUUAUCCUUGAAACAAUAUAACCUUCAGUACACCCAAAGUUGUAUGUAAUCGAAUUACAUGACCUCUGUCAUAAAAGAAAG